rnacentral:lncRNA from 1 species
CCAGCCACCACACCCAGACAUAUUCCUUGAAGGUAGAAUCACUGUCAGCAGAGUCCUUGCCAGGAACGACUUUCCAGUGAAGGAGACAAUGGAAAUUUGGACAACAUUUUGAAAACCACUAACAGUAACAACGUGUUAAUAAUAAUUAAAACAUUAAGAUGAAGAAGACAAAGAAGGAGAAAUAUGAAGGGAUUGCUAAUUGCUGGUGUUCUGCAUUUGUUUUCUUAUUUAAUCCUCAUCAUAACCUUAUGAG